rnacentral:rRNA from 1 species
GACGAACGCUUGCGGCGUGCUUAACACAUGCAAGUCGAACGGAAAGGCCCUGCUUUUGUGGGGUGCUCGAGUGGCGAACGGGUGAGUAACACGUGAGUAACCUGCCCUUGACUUUGGGAUAACUUCAGGAAACUGGGGCUAAUACCGGAUAGGAGCUCCUGCUGCAUGGUGGGGGUUGGAAAGUUUCGGCGGUUGGGGAUGGACUCGCGGCUUAUCAGCUUGUUGGUGGGGUAGUGGCUUACCAAGGCUUUGACGGGUAGCCGGCCUGAGAGGGUGACCGGCCACAUUGGGACUGAGAUACGGCCCAGACUCCUACGGGAGGCAGCAGUGGGGAAUAUUGCACAAUGGGCGGAAGCCUGAUGCAGCAACGCCGCGUGCGGGAUGACGGCCUUCGGGUUGUAAACCGCUUUCGCCUGUGACGAAGCGUGAGUGACGGUAAUGGGUAAAGAAGCACCGGCUAACUACGUGCCAGCAGCCGCGGUGAUACGUAGGGUGCGAGCGUUGUCCGGAUUUAUUGGGCGUAAAGGGCUCGUAGGUGGUUGAUCGCGUCGGAAGUGUAAUCUUGGGGCUUAACCCUGAGCGUGCUUUCGAUACGGGUUGACUUGAGGAAGGUAGGGGAGAAUGGAAUUCCUGGUGGAGCGGUGGAAUGCGCAGAUAUCAGGAGGAACACCAGUGGCGAAGGCGGUUCUCUGGGCCUUUCCUGACGCUGAGGAGCGAAAGCGUGGGGAGCGAACAGGCUUAGAUACCCUGGUAGUCCACGCUGUAAACGGUGGGUACUAGGUGUGGGGUCCAUUCCACGGGUUCCGUGCCGUAGCUAACGCUUUAAGUACCCCGCCUGGGGAGUACGGCCGCAAGGCUAAAACUCAAAGGAAUUGACGGGGCCCCGCACAAGCGGCGGAGCAUGCGGAUUAAUUCGAUGCAACGCGUAGAACCUUACCUGGGUUUGACAUGGAUCGGGAGUGCUCAGAGAUGGGUGUGCCUCUUUUGGGGUCGGUUCACAGGUGGUGCAUGCCUGUCGUCAGCUCGUGUCGUGAGAUGUUGGGUUAAGUCCCGCAACGAACGCAACCCUUGUUCACUGUUGCCAGCACGUUAUGGUGGGGACUCAGUGGAGACCGCCGGGGUCAACUCGGAGGAAGGUGGGGAUGACGUCAAGUCAUCAUGCCCCUUAUGUCCAGGGCUUCACGCAUGCUACAAUGGCUGGUACAGAGAGUGGCGAGCCUGUGAGGGUGAGCGAAUCUCGGAAAGCCGGUCUCAGUUCGGAUUGGGGUCUGCAACUCGACCUCAUGAAGUCGGAGUCGCUAGUAAUCGCAGAUCAGCAACGCUGCGGUGAAUACGUUCCCGGG